AUUUCUAUAAUCAUAAUUCUGCUGUGAUUUAUUUUCUCUUCCCCCUUGGAUAUUCAUGUAUCAUAUUCCCAUUAGUAUGUAUAUGAUAGUGGAUUAAAAGUAUAUGUAAGAAAGAAUAAAAAAGGUGGGAAGUAAAGAAGUCAGUUAGGAGUUAGUUAGAAGUAUAUGAGAGUAUAAAUAGAGUUUGUUGAGAAGGGUGGGGAUUAUUGAAUAUUGUUUGUAUUGUUUACUGGAUCUCAGUCCAGUGGAGGGAGGUUAGGCUUCCUUGAUAAUUGUGGGAACAUUGUAUUCUUUCAUUCACUGAAUACAAUCAGAGGUUAUUCACUGUGUUGAGUUUGUCUGAUGUGUUUUUACUCAUUUUCUUGACUUCUUGAUUAAAGAAGUCCAUCAACUUGGUCCGACCUGCUGGAUCUAGAUCGAAGGAGAGAUAAGAUGGAGAACAGGAUGAGUACACUAGAGGGAAGAUUCGAUUCCAUGGAAGCGAUAUUGGAAGAGAUGCAAGCGGAGAUGAGGGGGAGAGCUCGAAAUGGGAAUCGCGACUGUGGGAGACGAAUUGUUAAUCGCGAUCGGGGUAAAAGAGGGAAUCGGGAGAGGAGUUCGGAGGACAGUCAUUCGGUUAAUGGAUGUCGGGAAACUGAGGAGGAUGAAUCUGAGGAUGAAUCAGAGGAAGAACGUGAUGACGUUCAAAAGAGUUGGAUGAAGAGAGUGGAAUUACCCACUUUCGAAGGGACCGAUCCGACGGGAUGGAUCGUGAAGCUGCAAAUACAGCCGUGUUCAUACAGAAUAGGCUUCCGACAUGAGCCUUGCAAAAUCAAACUCCUUUUCAAGCUUGUUUGGUUUUAAACCUUCUUUGGACUUUCUUAAAGUAUUUGGUUGCUUGUGUUACUCACAUAUACCUCAGAUUAAACGUAAGCUCGAUAAAAGGGCUGAAGCGGGAUUAUUUAUUGGCUACAGCACAAUUCCUAAAACUUAUAGGAUUUUUCAACCUCAAACUGGAUUAUGUGCAUUUCAUGGAAGAUGAAAACUGGUGUUGGAGUGAUUCAAAGAAAAGUCAGAACACUGAAUUGAAGGUUGAAGACACUGUAGAUGAUCCACCUGUUAGAGUAACAAGGUUACUCUCUGAUAUCUAUCAAAAAAGGCAAUGUAUCACUGUGCAAUAUAGCUAUUUGUGAACCUGCCAGUUUUGAAGAAGCUGCUAUGGAGGAGAAAUGGUUAGCCGCAAUGCAGGAGGAGCUGUCCAUCAUUGAGAAAAAUCAAACCUGGGUGCUAGUUCCAAGACCUUAUGACAAAAAUGUCAUUGGGUGAAAUGGGUGUUCAGAACAAAAUUCAACCCUGAUGGUUCUGUAAAUAAGCACAAAGCAAGGCUUGUUGUAAAAGGAGGAGAUUUAUGUUGAACAACUAGAUGGUUUUGUUAUCAAAGAACAAGAAGAAAAAGUCUACUUGCUGAAAAAGACUUUAUAUGGUUUAAAGCAAGCCCCAAGACUCUGGUACAACAAAAUUAAUGAUCGUUUACUGCACUUAGGCUUUCAAAAGAGUGUAUCUGAAACUACACUUUAUGUCAAACAUGAUGGUGCUGAUACUUUAAUUAUUUCAUUAUAUGUUGAUGAUCUCUUGAUGACAAGAAGCAAUGUAGCAGUAAUUGAAGAAUUCAAGCAAGAAAUGAAAAAGGUCUUUGAGAUGACAAAUCUUGGUCUUAUGACUUUUUUUCUGGGCAUGGAGAUCACUCAAAAAGAAGAAUGAGAUUUUUAUCUGCCAGAAAAAAUAUGCAAAGGAGAUUCUAAAGAAAUUUCUCCUUGGUGAAUGCAAACCGAUGAACACUCCAAUGAAUCAAAAAGAGAAGCUUAUCAAGGAGGAUGAAACAGAUAAAGUUGAUGAAGCUUAUUUUAGAAGCUUGAUUGGGUGUCUAAGGUAUCUUACAUCCACAAGGCCUGACAUCUUAUUUCCAGUUAGCUUGCUGUCAAAAUUUAUGCAUUGUGCUAAUGAAUUGCACUUGAAGGCAGCAAAGAGAGUUGUAAGAUACAUCAAAGGAACGGUCAAUUAUGGAGUUAAGUACUACAAGAUACAAAACUUUAAAUUAUUUGGUUUUUCUAACAGUGAUUGGGCUAGUAGCUUGGAUGAUAUGAAGAGUACUUCAGUGUACUGCUUUAGUAUGGGUUCAGGUGUUUUCUCUUGGUAUUCCAAGAAGCAAGAAUAAAACGAAUGAAUAUCUUUUAUUGA